GGUCUUGUGGUCUAGUGGUAUGAUUCUCGGUAGGUUAAUCAUUAUUACUGUAAAUGACAGUACCAUUAAUAAAUUUCACAGCUUAGGGUGAACCUGAGUUAAAUGCGAGGUAAGUUUGGUACCGACUUACAAACUGAACGUCACACUUACAUGCUCGACAGAGGCCCCGCGUUCGAAUCGCGGCAAGACCC